GGAGAAUCGCUUGAACCCAGGAGGCAGAGGUUGCGGUGAGCUGAGAUCGCACCACUGCACUCCAGCCUGGGCGACAGAGCAAGACUCCCAUCCCUAAAGAUGCACUUCUCCCCUGAAGUUCAGGGUUACCUAAAAUCUGGAGCACAGGAGUGUGGGUGGCAGCCAGCUCCAACCUGGCUGUAUCUGAUGCUCCACCCAAACUUCCAGAGAAGAGACUCAGACUAAUAUCAAACCAACCUAAAAGGCUGGGGGAACAGGUUCUCUUCACACUUACCACAUCCAUUCAGGUUUCAACUAAAUGUGGGCUGAACAGAGUUUGAAACCCUAGUAACUGAAACUAAAAAGCAGUAGUAAUGAACAGUUCUGGGAACAGAUGGUGGUGAUGGCUGCACAAUAUAAGAAUGUAUAUACUACUACUGAAGUGCACACAUAAAACAGUUAAGCUGGUAAAAUUCACCUUAUACUAGAUGUAUUUUGCCAUUACUUUUAAGAAGUAGAAAAAAACCAAAGCAGUGGUAGAGCAUCAGCAGACAGGCCUGGAAUUUGGCUGAUCAUUUAUUGCUACCCUGAUAACCUGAAAGGGUUAAUGUGUCUCUG
rnacentral:lncRNA from 10 species